CGAUGCUCAACCACUAAGCAGCACCAGCCCAGCUAAAUAGACACUGAGCACACACAUCGACACUGAGGACAACAAAGUGCCUCUCCUUGUAAAGAUAAAGGACUACAGUAUACCUUCGGCCUGCCCUGGAGGAAAUGUCUCAAGAAGAGAGAGUGGGUUUGCCCCUUUUUUAGGUACUACGGAAAUAAAUGCAAUUAGACCAUUUGUCAUCAAGAAGAACAAGUACAUAAGAGCAGAAGAGAACAGACCUGCAGCUGGUGUGGCCACAUUAGCAGGAGACUCAGAGAAGCUUUUAAGGUUGACUUGAGCAAGUUCCAAGGGCCAGCAACUGAAGGUGAACUCUGAUUCUUUCCUGGCUUCUUCGCAUUUUUUGGAAUUGAAAUGGAUUAAAUACCAUGAGUAAUUUGGAAGUUCUCUGGAGGCAAGUGAACAUCAGAGAUGCCUUGUUCCACCUGGGCUGCACAUGUGACUAGCGCUCACUCCUCCAGGUGGAUCCACAUUCAUCCAACCUGUGUAAUAACAACCACCAGCUUUGCCCCAGGAGGCCAGCUCUGCGUCUUUCUC